GAAGAGGCGCAAAGGCAUCAUUGAGUGCAGCGUUGAUGAACAGGGGCCAGGCGACCGGCGGCCGGUCCGGUUCGGUUCACCGGCGCUGCACACAGUGACGCCCUUGCAUUCUCUGGCCCGAUUC